UGCGUAGGCGGUCCGUUAAGUCAGUGGUGAAAUCCAGCAGCUCAACUGCUGAACUGCCAUUGAUACUGGCGGACUUGAGUACGGACGAGGUAGGCGGAAUUUAUGGUGUAGCGGUGAAAUGCAUAGAUACCAUAAAGAACACCGAUAGCGAAGGCAGCUUACUAGACCGUAACUGACGCUCAGGCACGAAAGCGUGGGGAGCGAACAGGAUUAGAUACCCUGGUAGUCC
rnacentral:rRNA from 1 species